rnacentral:rRNA from 1 species
UACGGGGGGGCAAGCGUUGUUCGGAAUUACUGGGCGUAAAGGGCUCGUAGGCGGCCAACUAAGUCGAAUGUGAAAUCCCAGGCUCAACUUGGGAACUGCAUCCGAUACUGGAUGGCUUGAAUUCGGGAGAGGGAUGCAGAAUUCCAGGUGUAGCGGUGAAAUGCGUAGAUAUCUGGAGGAAUACCGGUGGCGAAGGCGGCAUCCUGGACCGACAUUGACGCUGAGGUGCGAAAGCGUGGGGAGCGAACGAGG